GCGGAAAAGCGGGAGAGGGGCGGGAUGUAGAGAGCUGAUCGACGCGGUUGCUGCGGGAGGCGGGGUGCAUGCAGGCUCUGAAGAAAAAAGCCACAACAAGUCUCCUGAAAGCUCUCUGCAGUGCAACUGAUUUUGCAGUAAUCAAGUACCUCUUUAUUGAUGAACCCGAAUGAACCAAAGCAAAGAAGUGAGCAAGCUGAAAUGAGGUCAUGGUGAGGAUAGAGGAAGGAUGUCCUACUGCACUAUGACUGAUGUCUUUAUAAAAAGGGAAAAUCUGGAUACAAAGAAAGACAUAAACACAAAGGGAAAUCGCCACUUGAAGAUAGAAGCAGAGAGGGGGUGAUGCUUCUACAAGCUAAGGAAUACCAAGAUUGCUGGUAAACCCCAGAAGGGAGAGAAGAGGCCUGGAACAGACUCAACUCAUAGCCUCAGAUGGAACCAAUCCUGCCAGUAAGUACCUUGAUCUCAGACUUCCAGCGACUAGAACUAUGAAGCAUUAUAUUUCUGUUGUUCCACUCCACCCAACUUGUGACACUUUGUUAUAGCCACUCUAGCAAUACAAAGAAAUCAGAUUUCUUUUAUCUCUAGAAGCAAAAAUAAAGUGAUUUAACCAAAUACAGUGUUUACCAUGAUUCCACGUCAUUGACAUAAGGCAUGCUUUUGUAAAUUCUUUACGUCUGAAUUCAUGUAAAUAAAAAAAUGAUGUCUGUU